rnacentral:rRNA from 1 species
AUUGAACGCUGGCGGCAGGCCUAACACAUGCAAGUCGGACGGUAGCACAGAGGAGCUUGCUCCUUGGGUGACGAGUGGCGGACGGGUGAGUAAUGUCUGGGGAUCUGCCCGAUAGAGGGGGAUAACCACUGGAAACGGUGGCUAAUACCGCAUAACGUCGCAAGACCAAAGAGGGGGACCUUCGGGCCUCUCACUAUCGGAUGAACCCAGAUGGGAUUAGCUAGUAGGCGGGAUAAUGGCCCACCUAGGCGACGAUCCCUAGCUGGUCUGAGAGGAUGACCAGCCACACUGGAACUGAGACACGGUCCAGACUCCUACGGGAGGCAGCAGUGGGGAAUAUUGCACAAUGGGCGCAAGCCUGAUGCAGCCAUGCCGCGUGUAUGAAGAAGGCCUUCGGGUUGUAAAGUACUUUCAGCGGGGAGGAAGGCGGUGAGGUUAAUAACCUCGCCGAUUGACGUUACCCGCAGAAGAAGCACCGGCUAACUCCGUGCCAGCCGCCGCCGUAACAC